UACGUAGGGUGCAAGCGUUGUCCGGAAUUAUUGGGCGUAAAGAGCUCGUAGGCGGUUUGUCGCGGCUGCUGUGAAAACUCGGGGCUUAACUCCGGGCCUGCAGUGGGUACGGGCAGACUAGAGUGCGGAAGGGGAGACUGGAAUUCCUGGUGUAGCGGUGAAAUGCGCAGAUAUCAGGAGGAACACCGGUGGCGAAGGCGGGUCUCUGGGCCGUAACUGACGCUGAGGAGCGAAAGCGUGGGGAGCGAACAGG
rnacentral:rRNA from 1 species